AUGUACGCUCUGUACAUUCCGGUGCCUCCGCUCCGGCGACCACCACCAGCCACCCGCUCGCUACGCUGUGAACC
rnacentral:sRNA from 1 species